CUGAGGUGGUGGGAGACCUAUCAGUUGGGUCUUUCCCUGGUUUUGGAAUCAAAGUAACACUUUCUUCCAGGAAUGAAUUUGGAAGUAUUCCUUCCCUUUCAAUUUCAUUGAAGAGUUUAGAGUAGUGGCAAUAGUUCUUCUCUAAGUGUCUUAUAGAAUUGAGGCCAUCAGGACACAGGCUUUUCUUUGUUGGGAAUGUUGUGCCCAGAUUGUGAGGUCCCAGAGACCACCAGGAGGCCGUUUCCGAUGCCAGCAUGGUGGGCCGUGGCUAAUGCCUGUAAUUCCAGCACUCAAAAGGCUGACCCAGGAGGACUGCUGUGAGUUCAAGGCCAGGCUGGGCUACAUAACGAGACCCUAUCUCACCCCACCCCCUUCAUUUUCCCUUCUCCUCAUGUAAGGGGUGAGUCCUUGUUCACAUAAAUAUGGGAAUGGAAAGGCUUCCACUCUAUCAAUGAUGCUCACUUUCCCAAGCUCCUUCUGAAUUAAAUGUCAAGAAUCACACUGUGAGCUAUCGUUACAAUUAUUUUUAAUGAUAUUUAAACUGAGAACUCAAUUAGAUUAUCCUACAAUUUCAUUGACAACCAAGAAUUAGAAACCACCUGAGUUGCUAAAGGCUUAUUACUUAAUCUGUAGUCAUUCAUAUUCCAAAACAAUAUUUCAAAUUGUACUUGUUGUUUGGCAACUCAGAUGUUUUUACAGUUUUUCACCUUGGGAGAACAGGACAAUGCUAAAGAUGAGGAGAGACAUGAGAAUCUGCAAAGGAGUUCUCGGGGAAUUAGUUUAAACAAAGGAUACAUAGAAUUAGAGAAUGUGAGGGCCAAGAAUUUAGCUCAGUGGCACUGUGCCUGCCUCACAAGUGCAAGGUCCUGAGUUCGAGCCCUGGUACCAAAAAAACAAUAGAGAAUGUGAAAAUGGGUAUUUUCCAUCUGGUGUGGUGGUGAAUGCCUUAAUCUCAGCACUAGGGAGGCUGAGGCAGGAGGAUCACUGGGAAUUAGAGGCCAGCCGGGAUUACAUAGCAAGACUGUGUCUCUAAUAAUAAUAAUAACAAUAAAAAAUAAAUAUAGAUAGAGGAAAAGAGGGUCUGAGACCAGUAUUUACUAUCAGGCUAAAAGAAGGCAGAGGUUUCUAAGAAUAAGCAGAGAAGUGGGAGAAGUAUCAGAAGAGUAUUGAGUUAUAGAAGCCAAGGGACAAGUGUCUCAAGAGGCUGAGAUGCCUAUGUUAGCUGUUGCUCGGAAAGGAGAGGAGGCCUAAUGACAUGGUGUGGUGGUCACCAAGGAAUUUUCCGAAUUGGGCAGUGGAGUGGGGUGGGCACAGCCACAGAAACAACUCUUCUGCAAAACAUCUGGCUGAGAGAAGGAAGGCAAUAGGGAUGUUCCUUAUCUCUGCCUUUUGUUUUCUUUCUUUUAGAGAAAGAAAAGUAGCCCAGGCUGACCUUGAACUCAUUAUGUAGAUGUAGUCCAGCUGGCCUCAGACUUGCAGUGAUCCUCCUGCCUCUGCUUCCUGAGGGCUGUGAUUACAGCCAUGUGAGCCCAGGGCCAGCAGCAGCAGGGUGUUCAGUGCAUCACUUGUCAGGAGGGUUGUUUCCUGCCAGGUACCAGACAGCUCACUGGGUCCUCCUGCUCUCUAAUGUGUCUGCCCUGGAAGGACCUGCACGUGUUGGACAAGAGAAAAGAGAUAACAGCAAAAAAAGGACUGGGAGUGUGAGGCCUGAGUGACUCCAUUUUAAAAUUUGGCCCCAUCUUAGAGUAAGGUGGCCUGGACAUAAACUCUAGUUCCAAGAAAAACCACAAGAUGCACUUUGGCCACCUGCCUGUGAUAAUGUUGAGCAGUACCCUAGCAACUAGCCUAGCAACAGCUAAUCAGUGGCUGCCUCAAUGUCCCAGAUGCUCUUCUCGAUGGCCUGCAACAGCUAAUCAGUAGUUACCCCAAUACCCCAGUAUCCCAAAUGUUCUUUUCAAUGACUUGAGCAGCCGUUUGCAGUUCAGCCCACAAGGCACAGCCAAUCAGGCUUAAACUUUCAAAAUUUGCUAAAUGCUAGCCAAUCGUGUGAUUUGCGUGUGAUUUGAAACCCUGUGCCUUUUUGAAACCCCACGCCUUGCCGUAACCUCUAUAAAAACCCCUGGUGUUUUAGAGUCGGGGCUCUCAACCCUGACCCGCUGCAUCGGUGUUGGAUGAGAGUCCCUGCUCGAGCUUGAAUAAAUGACCCUCAUGUGUUUGCAUCGGAAUCAGCUCCUUGGCUGUCUUUGGGGACCUCGAGAUCUGGGCACAACAGGAGGAACAGAGAGGACAGUAAACUGGCUUAUAGGUAAGAUAGAAGUGUGAAGAGGAACAGGAUGGGUGUUACCAAGGAGGAGAAGCUAGGUGAGAAAUCAAAAUUUAAGCCCUUUUUUUCAGUACUGGGGGUUGAAUACAGGACUGCUCACUGAGCUACACUCCUGGCCCUUUUCAUUUUUAUUUUCUGACACACUAAGUUGUCUGUUUCGCUAAAUUGCCCUGACUGGCCUCAAACUAAAGAUCCUGCUGGGCGUGGUGGUGCACACCUGUCAUCUCAGCACAUGGGAGGCUGGGGCAGGAGGAUCUCCAGGAGUUUGAGGCCAACCUGGGCUACAUAGGAGUUCAAGACCAGCCUGAACUGCAUAGUCAGACCCUCUCUUGAAAAAAACAAACAAAUAAAAGUUGUGGCGUGCAGAAUAUGAAGAAGAAUCCAGCUGGCAUAGGUAACUCCUCGGCAGGCUGGCUCAGCCACUGUUGGCACCAGUAACCCUGAAAGCCCAGCAUCUCUUGCAG
rnacentral:lncRNA from 1 species